AACGAACGCUGGCGGCAUGCCUAACACAUGCAAGUCGAACGAGACCUUCGGGUCUAGUGGCGCACGGGUGCGUAACGCGUGGGAACCUGCCCUUAGGUUCGGAAUAACUCCCCGAAAGGGGUGCUAAUACCGGAUAAUGUCUUCGGACCAAAGAUUUAUCGCCUUUGGAUGGGCCCGCGUUGGAUUAGCUAGUUGGUAGGGUAAAAGCCUACCAAGGCGACGAUCCAUAGCUGGUCUGAGAGGAUGAUCAGCCACACUGGGGCUGAGACACGGCCCAGACUCCUACGGGAGGCAGCAGUGGGGAAUAUUGGACAAUGGGCGAAAGCCUGAUCCAGCAAUGCCGCGUGAGUGAUGAAGGCCUUAGGGUUGUAAAGCUCUUUUACCCGGGAUGAUAAUGACAGGACCGGGAGAAUAAGCUCCGGCUAACUCCGU
rnacentral:rRNA from 1 species